UCCUGGUGUCCCUAUCACAGCCUGGUCAUCCUGGAGAACCAGGAGAGGCUGAGAUGGAUAUCUCUUCAGUGUUACUCUGAAGCCUGGAACAUGAAGCCCCUUCAGAAAGGACCAACAGUGUCUCCUACAUAUGAAUAGCUUGAAAACCUGACCAAUCUCACUAGAUACCUCUGCUACCACAGAAACAAGCUACCACCUAGAGCAGAGAUUCUACUGGGGCAGCCAGGCAGAGCAGGCUGGACCCUUCUCCUGAGUUACCAGUACUUAUGUCCAGCUGUAUAACCUGAAAACAGCCAUCAGCACGUGAACAAAACUGGGUGUUCACAACUGAAAGAGGAGCUUGCACCAGCUUUGGAUAGCAAUAGUCUUUAGGCUUUGCAGCUUGGGAUGCUAAGAAGGUGCUGCAGCAUAUUGCCUUGUAAUAACAUGAAGCAAAAACUCAGCACAAAGUCUGUGAACCAGAUAAGAUUGAUUAAACAAUUUCUAACCAACGGGGUUGCACAUAAAAAUUUUAUUAAAACCUCAAGUGCUAAUUUUAUUUCCUGGGUCUGUCACUGCUAUUUUUUUCUUUUUUUUUUUUUACUCAGUAGUGAUAAUUACUACAUUAGAAAUUAAAUGAACCUCAUAUACUACAUCUUUCAGACCUCCUAGGAGAGUUGUGAAAGUGAUUUAGAGAAGUGAAUUUGUUAUUGUGCCUAAUCAAGUUACAGUAAUUGUCACCUAUAAUUUUAGCUUGACUGCUACGUGUUUAAUUGGGAGCUUUGCCUUUGAAUUUUUGUAACUGAGCUUCUCUGUGACUGUUCUCCUACUUCCCAUCCCUUCCCAAACCCACUGACAGAAAACAAAUCACUGCAUACAGCUGUGCCAUUAACAGCACUGCCGUUUGCUGCUACAUUGGUUUCUUCAUCAACCUGAGGUGCUGCAACAUCAGGUGAUUUUCCUUGCGAGACCAGCACCAGGUUGUCUCCCUCUAGGUCAUUAUCACAGCUGUGUAGGUAUCAGUGGCAAUAAAGGGGCUUUCUGGCCUACAGGAAUCCUUAGUAGGGCUGUAAGUAUUGCAGUACUCUGGGGAUUGCAAAGAGUUCUUCAGGCUGAAAGACUGAAGGGGAGAGAUACUUUCCUUCCUGUUGCAGCUCCAGGGAUUGUCUCUUCUGUAUUCAACUUCUUUAAAACACACACACAAAAGUUACUGAAGGGAGAAAGAGCUAAGAAACUCAGCAGCUCUAAGCAAUAACUUCAGAAUGGCUCACUGGAUGAUACCCAAGCCUUCUGUGUUAGGCUCCUAGUAAUGACAGACUGCUCUUGGGAAACUUUAUGUCGAUGAUGAAUGAAUGGGUAUUUUCCUCUGAAGUGGCUGCUCCAGAAUACAUCACUCUCACAUCAUCUAAACAAUGCUGGUCAUCCACACCACAUUUCCAGUAGCUGCUGGGACUCCUGAAAAGGGUAGAGCUUGUUAUUCAGAGAUAAGGAGGGAUUAGCUCUGCGAUCUCAGUCAGCCUUAAGAGGAAGGUUAAAAACUUUGGGAGAAGGAAGUAUGUGUGUGCAUGCACAUGUGUCUUCCAAAACAACAGAUGGUUUCAAUAAAGUUGCUCCUGCUGCUA